rnacentral:rRNA from 1 species
UACGUAGGGUGCAAGCGUUGUCCGGAAUUAUUGGGCGUAAAGAGCUCGUAGGCGGUUUGUCGCGUCUGCUGUGAAAACUCGGGGCUUAACUCCGGGCCUGCAGUGGGUACGGGCAGACUAGAGUGCGGUAGGGGAGACUGGAAUUCCUGGUGUAGCGGUGAAAUGCGUAGAUAUCAGGAGGAACACCGGUGGCGAAGGCGCACAUCUGGCCCGAUACUGACGCUGAGGCGCGAAAGCUAGGGGAGCAAACGGG